UUAUCUGUAUUAAUGGGCUCCUUUGAAUGGUAACAUUCAAUAGGCAAAUGGGGAGAAUUGCAAGAACAUCUAUAAAUAAUAACCUCCGAUUUAUAGAUUACUUGCAGCGAAGCUUGAUUCGGUAUUAUAAAUGGAUCAAGAACGUUCAACGACUAAUGAGUGAGUAAUACCAACAAUAAGCUCGACACGAGUACCCCACAACUAAUAACAUUUAGUUGAAGACAUAGUCUAAACACCAACUAUAG
rnacentral:ncRNA from 1 species